rnacentral:rRNA from 1 species
CGGUGUUUAACUGGCGUGAUGUGGGACGUCCUACCGGUGGGCUUAGCCUCGCGAGGGGCGGCCCAACUAAUAUCCCGUCGCGGUGCUCUUUACUGAGUGUCGAGUCGGGCCGGUACGUUUACUUUGAACAAAUUAGAGUGCUUAAAGCAGGCUAUCCUCGCCUGAAUACUGCGUGCAUGGAAUAAUGGAAUAGGACCUCGGUUCUAUUUUGUUGGUUUUCGGAACCCCGAGGUAAUGAUUAAUAGGGACAGAUGGGGGCAUUCGUAUUGCGACGUUAGAGGUGAAAUUCUUGGAUCGUCGCAAGACGGACAGAAGCGAAAGCAUUUGCCAAAAAUGUUUUCAUUAAUCAAGAACGAAAGUUAGAGGUUCGAAGGCGAUCAGAUACCGCCCUAGUUCUAACCAUAAACGAUGCCAGCUAGCGAUCCGCCGAAGUUCCUCCGAUGACUCGGCGGGCAGCUUCCGGGAAACCAAAGCUUUUGGGUUCCGGGGGAAGUAUGGUUGCAAAGCUGAAACUUAAAGGAAUUGACGGAAGGGCACCACCAGGAGUGGAGCCUGCGGCUUAAUUUGACUCAACACGGGGAAACCUCACCAGGCCCAGACACCGGAAGGAUUGACAGAUUGAUAGCUCUUUCUUGAUUCGGUGGGUGGUGGUGCAUGGCCGUUCUUAGUUGGUGGAGCGAUUUGUCUGGUUAAUUCCGAUAACGAACGAGACUCUAGCCUGCUAAAUAGGCGUACCUUAUGGUAUCGCGAAGGCCCCCGGCUUCGGCCGGUGGGUUUUUACUACCAACGUACAAACAAAUCUUCUUAGAGGGCACAGGCGG